rnacentral:misc_RNA from 1 species
CCUCACCAAAUUAAUUUGUUGUUCAUCGGAUUUGCCGCACGUGUUUUUUUUCAAAUGUAAAAAAAAUAUUUUUUUUUGUUUUUUACAUGCGCCCGCACCCUAGAAAAAAAUGAAGUUAAAAUUUUGUGGUGCGCGACCUUUUUUGGACGGUACGGCGUGGGUUUUAGGCAUACCAAAAAGACAAAAUGGCGUCUGUGCCCCGUGUUGUAAUUGUAAAGUUAAAAGAUCGGAAAAUUGCCGUGCAAACAACCACAGAAGAUACUUUCAGUGACAUAUUUAUUAAAGCCAAACAUCUGGGUAACAUCAUUUCUGACGAAAAUGCUAUAAAAACUGUAAUGAUCUAUGAAAACCCAAGUAAAAUCGAACCCGACAAUGGGAUUUUAGUAGACAAAACUAUGAGUUGUCAGAUGUUGUCUGAUUUAAAUUACCGGUUCGUGGAUUUCAUUGUCGAUGAAGAAAAAGACGCUAACAACAAUGUUGACAAGUUUCCUGCCAAUGCAUUCAGCUUAAUGAUGUCAGAAAAAUUCUGUUUGCCAGAAAAACCAAAGUCAUCACAUGGAAAGUUGACAGGUCCUAAGAAGAUUCAGUCUGACCUCAUUGACUUGGCAGAAAAGCUUGGAUGCGGUUGGGCAAGGGACAGUUUGAUGUCUGGUGAAAGGGUGUUAAAAAAACUUACAGAUGCUCUGUGGUAUAUAGACCAUGCUCAUAAGAGAAUGAAAGACAAUAGUUGUCAAGUUCCAGAAAUUUUUGACAAGUUUCAAGGCUAUAAUGAGUAUGCCAAGUUACGUCAUAGGCCACCAGUUAUAAAGUCAGAGAAGUUGAAUGAAAUAUGCAGUGAUUUAGCUGAUGUACUACAAUUACCAUCAAUGAGUUCUAGUAGGAAUAAGGUACUGAAAAUGCAUAUAGAAAGCCUGGCGUCUGCUUUGGCCAAGUACAAUGCGAGACUGAAUUCAAAUAAGGAAUUGAAAACAAAGUCCAAUGCAGAUCCUGUUGCAGCUUCAAGUUUCUGUGAGAAAAAUGAAACUGCUUGCAGUUUUGUUCCUCCAAGUAAGAAAGUUGGUGACAAAUACAUAGAUCUUGAUGAAUAUCUAUCACAGCAUGAUGACUAUGAAUAUAUAGACCUAGAUUUAUUUUCCCCUUCAAACAGAUAUAAACGCAGAGAUUUUAUAAAGCAUCUUAAAUUAUCAAAACCUGUUAUGCUGUAUAGGGUUGCAUAUGGGGGGAGUGUAGGAACAGUUAACUUUAUUUGGUCAGUUCCCUAUGACACAUCCCAAACAAGGCUAGAGAAAAACAGCAGUGUUAUGAACAGCAUUAAUGAAGAGUUACCAAAGUUUUCAAAUAGACAAAUGCGCAGAGACUUCAUCAAUAGGUAUAUUGACUAUGUUAAGUGUCCCAAGUCUGUUCUGCGUAACAUGUAUUUUGAUUUGACAGGUUGUGAACCAACUGCUGAAAGUUCUCACCAGAGACAUGUAAAUGAUCGUGUAUCUGAAAUAUUAAUGGGAAGUGAUGAUACCAAAUUACUUUUAGACUUGAGAUCUAUGAAUGGCAGUGAUACCAAAUACGAUGAAUUUUAUGAUGCUGUUGGAAACUAUUUCGAGGAACAGAUCCUUCAUGUUCACGAAAGAAGGAAAGCACAAGAGUUAUACCUUCCAUUGAGUAUUUCAAUAGAGGACCUUAGGGAACAGGUAAAGAAACGUUUACCAGAAGGGACGUCUGUACCAAGUACUGAAGCUCUUCGUUUACAAUUCACGCCAUCAAACCAGUUUGCUGAAACUGCCCUGAGAUUUACAUCGCGCUUUAAUGUUAAGUUUCGUGUGCAGACAAGACUGGCAAGAGUGUCUCAUCCAGAUGUCCAUUAUGUGGCGGCAUAUUAUAAGUACCUCAAACAUUUUUGUGUAAUGUUUAAAGAGUAUACUCAUUUUGUUUGUCUUGAUGAUAAAUCAAUAGUGCCUGUAGGUGAACCUGGCAUACCAAUUUCCACUGGAGUAAGGGGUCACAACAAGGUCAUGACACCCAGUACCGGUCCAAAACUUGUGGCUGCUGAUCAUGAUUUUCAUGUUGCAGGAAUCGUUCCAUCAGUUGCUCUUGUAACAGACAUCCCUGAUUGUGCUGACGACAGUUUCUUUCAAGGAAAUGUUUAUGUUACAUGCAAAGAUAAAGUAUUUCAGGCAUCAACUCCAUUCAGACAUUGUACAGAGUUAGUUCGUAUUUUCAGGGAAAAUCACUCGCUGAAUGAAGUAGACUUAGAUAGACCAAUACUAUGUAUUUUCACUGAUGGCGGGCCAGAUCACCGCUUGACAUAUGAGUCGGUCAAAGUAUCACUCUUAGCCAUGUUUCUUGCUCUUGAUUUAGACUUUUUAAUUGCACUACGUACAGCCCCUAACCACAGUUGGAUGAACCCUGCGGAACGCUGCAUGAGUAUACUUAAUUUAGCUUUACAACAUGUCUCACUAUGCCGAGAGGAAAUGAAUGAACAGUCUGAAAAAUCGUUAAAAGGAAAGUCAUCGCUUGGUGCUCUCAGAAAUCUUGCGGAUAUUAAACCAGGAUUUAAAGAGGCUUUCAAAGGGAGCAUUGGUCCGGUCAUUAAAACAGUCAGUGACCGUUUCUCUAGAAUGAAACUUAAAGGUACUAGUCUAAAGGUGUGUGCUGCAGCUUCUGAUGAGGACAUCGAGUCUGAUCUGGAUUUUUUGAAACUUGUCACAUCUUCUCCUGGUGCUUCAUUUGAUUCUAGCAGUAAGAGUAAAGACUUCAAGACUUGUAUCCCACUUCAGGAGUUUCUCAAAUCACACUCUGUGUCGGGUCACUACAGCUUUCAAGUUAUGAAGUGCAAGAGUACAAGCUGCGCCUACUGUACUUUUAAUCCAAUCCGUGAGGAGGAAGUUUACAACAGGUUGUCCUUCCUUCCAGAACCUACACCAGAUGUGAGUGGAGAACAUUAUCUUCCAUUCGAAGAGGUGUAUGGAAAGAGUCAAACUUUGGACAAAUAUCGUCCCUCGGCUAAACAUGGAGAUUUUGAGGAUGACUUGAUUGAGGAAGACAAGAAAAACAGAGACAUUUUGAAGGUAUUAAAGCCCAAAAGGUGAGAGAUGUGAUCAAAUGUGGUGAAUGUAACAAGCCUAGACUGGUGUACAGCAGCUCCAGGACAGAGAGAGCUCAGGAUGCUUAUCUGCAUAGAGUGAAAGAGGAUCGGUUAUACAUCUGUGGGGACCAGCUAGAGGAAAACUGUGGACUUUUCAUGCAGAGGACCAUAAAUUGUAAUUCAGACAUCUCAAUAUCCUAUUACAGCC